GACGAACGCUGGCGGCGUGCUUAACACAUGCAAGUCGAACGGUGAACCUCUUCGGAGGGGAUCAGUGGCGAACGGGUGAGUAACACGUGGGCAACCUGCCCCCGGCUCUGGGAUAACUCCAAGAAAUUGGGGCUAAUACCGGAUGUUCACCGCUUCCCGCAUGGGUGGUGGUGAAAAGGGUUUCCGGCUGGGGAUGGGCCCGCGGCCUAUCAGCUUGUUGGUGGGGUAGUGGCCUACCAAGGCGACGACGGGUAGCCGGCCUGAGAGGGUGACCGGCCACGCGGGGAGGGACACACGGCCAAGCCUCGUGGGGGGGGCGGGGGGGGGGAUGUUUGGGAAGGGGGCGGAGCCCGGACGCGGCGCCGCCGGGGGGGGGAGGACGGCUUUGGGUUUGAAACCCUUUUCCAGCGGGGAAAAAGCAAAGGUGGGGUGCCCCGAAAAAGAGCCCCGGGCAAGGCAGGUG
rnacentral:rRNA from 1 species